UGCCAGACUCCUACGGGAGGCAGCAGUGGGGGAUAUUGCACAAUGGGGGGAACCCUGAUGCAGCGACGCCGCGUGGGUGAAGGAGCGUUUCGGCGCGCAAAGCUCUCUCAGCAGGGAAGAAGAUGACGGUACCUGAGUAAGAAGCCCCGGCUAACUACGUGCCAGCAGCCGCGGUAAUACGUAGGGGCAAGCGUUAUCCGGAUUUACUGGGUGUAAAGGGAGCGUAGACGGUGAGACAAGUCUGAAGUGAAAGCCCGGGGCUCAACCCCGGGACUGCUUUGGAAACUGCCUGACUGGAGUGCUGGAGAGGCAAGCGGAAUUCCUAGUGUAGCGGUGAAAUGCGUAGAUAUUAGGAAGAACACCAGUGGCGAAGGCGGCCUGCUGGACGAUGACUGACGUUGAGGCUCGAAAGCGUGGGGAGCAAACAGGAUUAGAUACCCCCGAG
rnacentral:rRNA from 1 species